rnacentral:rRNA from 1 species
UACAGAGAGUGCAAGCGUUAAUCGGAAUUACUGGGCGUAAAGCGCACGUAGGUGGAUACUUAAGUCGGAUGUGAAAUCCCUGGGCUUAACCUAGGAAUGGCGUUCGAUACUGGGUAUCUUGAGUAUGGUAGAGGGAAGUGGAAUUUCCGGUGUAGCGGUGAAAUGCGUAGAUAUCGGAAGGAACAUCAGUGGCGAAGGCGACUUCCUGGACCAAUACUGACACUCAGGUGCGAAAGCGUGGGGAGCAAACAGG